GACGAACGCUGGCGGCGUGCUUAACACAUGCAAGUCGAACGAAGAAUUUUGCUUCGGUAAAAUUCUUAGUGGCGAACGGGUGAGUAACGCGUAGACAACCUGCCUCUUAGAUGGGGACAACACCGCGAAAGCGGUGCUAAUACCGAAUGAAGUAUCUUUUCCGCAUGGAAGGGAUACCAAAGGUGGCCUCUAUUUAUAAGCUACCACUGAGAGAUGGGUCUGCGUCUGAUUAGCUAGUUGGCGGGGUAAUGGCCCACCAAGGCGACGAUCAGUAGCCGGUCUGAGAGGAUGAACGGCCACAUUGGGACUGAGACACGGCCCAAACUCCUACGGGAGGCAGCAGUGGGGAAUCUUCCGCAAUGGACGAAAGUCUGACGGAGCAACGCCGCGUGAGUGAAGAAGGUUUUCGGAUCGUAAAGCUCUGUUGUUUGAGACGAACGUGCAGGUUUUGAAUAAGGAUCUGUAAUGACGGUAUUAAACGAGAAAGCCACGGCUAACUACGUGCCAGCCGCCGCCGUAAUAC
rnacentral:rRNA from 1 species